AGAGUUUGAUCCUGGCUCAGGAUGAACGCUGGCGGCGUGCUUAACACAUGCAAGUCGAACGGUGAAAGAGAGCUUGCUCUCUGGAUCAGUGGCGAACGGGUGAGUAACACGUGAGCAAUCUGCCCUUGACUCUGGGAUAAGCGUUGGAAACGACGUCUAAUACCGGAUACGAGCUGCGAAGGCAUCUUCAGCAGCUGGAAAGAACUUCGGUCAAGGAUGAGCUCGCGGCCUAUCAGCUAGUUGGUGAGGUAAUGGCUCACCAAGGCGUCGACGGGUAGCCGGCCUGAGAGGGUGACCGGCCACACUGGGACUGAGACACGGCUCAGACUCCUACGGGAGGCAGCAGUGGGGAAUAUUGCACAAUGGGCGCAAGCCUGAUGCAGCAACGCCGCGUGAGGGACGACGGCCUUCGGGUUGUAAACCUCUUUUAGCAAGGAAGAAGCGAACGUGACGGUACUUGCAGAAAAAGCGCCGGCUAACUACGUGCCAGCAGCCGCGGUAAUACGUAGGGCGCAAGCGUUAUCCGGAAUUAUUGGGCGUAAAGAGCUCGUAGGCGGUUUGUCGCGUCUGCUGUGAAAACCCGAGGCUCAACCUCGGGCCUGCAGUGGGUACGGGCAGACUAGAGUGCGGUAGGGGAGAUUGGAAUUCCUGGUGUAGCGGUGGAAUGCGCAGAUAUCAGGAGGAACACCGAUGGCGAAGGCAGAUCUCUGGGCCGUAACUGACGCUGAGGAGCGAAAGGGUGGGGAGCAAACAGGCUUAGAUACCCUGGUAGUCCACCCCGUAAACGUUGGGAACUAGUUGUGGGGUCCAUUCCACGGAUUCCGUGACGCAGCUAACGCAUUAAGUUCCCCGCCUGGGGAGUACGGCCGCAAGGCUAAAACUCAAAGGAAUUGACGG
rnacentral:rRNA from 1 species